GGCUAAAAUAAGUACCGAAGUCGUAGACUUGCACACAACUUAGUUCUUUAUAAAACAAAGUGUAUAAGUUAUAUUUAAAACUAGCGAUAGCGUUUUUGCAAAGCAAAAAGUUUUAAAAUAUCUUAAGCUAAAAGAGUUAAGUUGUGUGCAAGUGGUAGGAGAGCGUUGUAUUUAGCGUUGAAGAUGUACCGGUAAGGAGCGUUGGAGCAAAUACAAGUGAGCAUGCAGGCAUGAGUAGCGUUAAAUCAGGUGAGAAU
rnacentral:rRNA from 1 species